GUCCACGCCGUAAACGAUGGAUGCUAGUCGUCGCGGGUAUUGACCCCUGCGGCAACGCAGUUAACGCAUUAAGCAUCCCGCCUGGGGAGUACGGCCGCAAGGCUAAAACUCAAAGGAAUUGACGGGGGCCCGCACAAGCGGUGGAGCAUGUGGUUCAAUUCGACGCAACGCGCAGAACCUUACCUGGGUUAAAUCCACCGGAAUCCCGCAGAGAUGUGGGAGUGCCCGCAAGGGAGCCGGUGAGAAGGUGCUGCAUGGCUGUCGU
rnacentral:rRNA from 1 species